UGGACAGGUUUUGGGUGAAUUCUUUGAAAAAGUUGACACCACCGUUUUUGGUGACUGCGACAGGCGGCGGGUCAUGGUUUGGAGUGAAAAAAUGUCAAAAUUUCAGGUCCAACUUUUUCACCUCAAAGUCACUCAGGGGCAUGUUUUAGACCAUUUGGAGUGGAUUUGGACAGGUUUUGGGUGAAUUCUUUGAAAAAGUUGACACCACCGUUUUUGGUGACUGCGACAGGCGGCGGGUCAUGGUUUGGAGUGAAAAAAUGUCAAAAUUUCAGGUCCAACUUUUUCACCUCAAAGUCACUCAGGGGCAUGUUUUAUGCCAUUUGGAGUGGAUUUGGACAGGUGUCUGGUGAAUUCUUUGAAAAAGUUGACACCACCGUUUUUGGUGACUGCGACAGGCGGCGGGUCAUGGUUUGGAGUGAAAAAAUGUCAAAAUUUCAGGUCCAACUUUUUCACCUCAAAGUCACUCAGGGGCAUGUUUUAUGCCAUUUGGAGUGGAUUUGGACAGGUUUUGGGUGAAUUCUUUGAAAAAGUUGACACCACCGUUUUUGGUGACUGCGACAGGCGGCGGGUCAUGGUUUGGAGUGAAAAAAUGUCAAAAUUUCAGGUCCAACUUUUUCACCUCAAAGUCACUCAGGGGCAU